GGGGGCUCUCAGGGGCUGGCGGACAGACAGACGGCGGACGUCCACCAGCUCCAGUCCCUCUACAGGCUUUUGGUGGCAUGAGGACUCCAGCUGCCCUAAGACCAAGCACAAUGCUUAAGCACCUGAUGAAGAGAUGUUCUGACUUUGUGUUCCCUCUCCCCCACACAAAGUCUACUGCUGCUGGAGCUGGGACAGCCACUCUGGGUACACCUCCAGGCAAAGGGACAGCCAGCUUCCCGAGGGCUGCUUGAGCUCAGGAGAGGAAGAGCAGACACUGAUGUGAAUGAGUGGCUGCAAGCAGAGACCCCACUGCCUGUAAAGGAUUAAAAGUAGAUGGCUCCUGCUUGAAGCAGGUUUCCUGGUAACAAUAGCACCAAAAUAAAGACCAGAUUUUGUCAAUGUGAAAUUUACUCCUCCUGAAUAAAGUCUUAUGCCUAGAAUCUGCAAAGAGAAAAGCUGAAAUAAGAUGUGGGAGCUGCUAUAUUUCU